rnacentral:rRNA from 1 species
UACGUAGGGUGCAAGCGUUUAAUCGGAAUUACUGGGCGUAAAGCGUGCGCAGGCGGUUUUGUAAGUCUGUCGUGAAAUCCCCGGGCUCAACCUGGGAAUUGCGAUGGAGACUGCAAGGCUAGAAUCUGGCAGAGGGGGGGUAGAAUUCCACGUGUAGCAGUGAAAAUGCGUAGAGAUGUGGAGGAAUACCGAUGGCGAAGGCAGCCCCCCUGGGAUAACACUGACGCU